CACACGAAAAAUGACAUGUAUCCACCUCUGUUGAUUCUCCCCGCGCGCGAUGCACCAAGGCCUCUCCAUUAAUACAAGUUCUAUGCAUCUUAAGCACGAUCUUGAGACGUCAAUGCUGUUAUUUCAUUAGUUAAACUUGAAGAGUAAAAGUCUGGCAAAUUUUCUACAACCGACAAUUGAACUUCCUCGAUUAUAUCUGUCGCUUCUGUACACAACUUGGAUUUGACCAUCUUGAAGAACGUACACGGUCUUGUUCCCUUGCCGAACUCGUCAACGUCGUAUGGUGGA